AUAAAGCAUCAUUCUGUAGCGGAAUGAUUUCGUCACAUCCGUGUCGAGGUACUCUGCGUUGUGAUUAACCCGGCUGGAGACAAUCUUUCAGCUACAAAUGUCUUUAUUGCUGGUACAGAAGACAAC